AGAGUUUGAUCCUGGCUCAGAAUCAACGCUGGCGGCGUGCCUAACACAUGCAAGUCGAACGAGAAAGUGGAGCAAUCCAUGAGUAAAGUGGCGACCGGGUGAGUAACACGUGACUAACCUACCUUCGAGUGGGGGAUAACAUCGGGAAACCGAUGCUAAUACCGCAUAACAUCGCAAGAUCAAAGCAGCAAUGCGCUUGAAGAGGGGGUCGCGGCUGAUUAGCUAGUUGGCGGGGUAACGGCCCACCAAGGCGAAGAUCGGUAUCCGGCCUGAGAGGGCGCACGGACACACUGGAACUGAAACACGGUCCAGACUCCUACGGGAGGCAGCAGUGGGGAAUUUUGCGCAAUGGGGGAAACCCUGACGCAGCAACGCCGCGUGGAGGAUGAAGCCCCUUGGGGUG
rnacentral:rRNA from 1 species